GUGAGGAAUUUUCCGCAAUGGGCGAAAGCCUGACGGAGCAAUGCCGCGUGAAGGAUGAAGGCCUAUGGGUUGUAAACUUCUUUUCUUAGAGAAGAAUGUUGACGGUAUCUGAGGAAUAAGCAUCGGCUAACUCUGUGCCAGCAGCCGCGGUAAGACAGAGGAUGCAAGCGUUAUCCGGAAUGAUUGGGCGUAAAGCGUCUGUAGGUGGCUUCAAAAGUCUCCUGUCAAAGAUCAGGGCUUAACCCUGGGCCGGCAGGAGAAACUCUGAGGCUAGAGUUUGGUAGGGGCAGAGGGAAUUCCCGGUGGAGCGGUGAAAUGCGUAGAGAUCGGGAGGAACACCAAAGGCGAAAGCACUCUGCUGGGCCACAACUGACACUGAGAGACGAAAGCGAGGGGAGCAAAAGGGAUUAGAUACCCCAGUAGUCC
rnacentral:rRNA from 1 species